GUCAUCUUAAGAUCCUUGAUGUAAUCACAUUAGCAAAGACCCUGUACCCAAUCAGGUCACAUUCACAGGCUUCAAGGAUUUGAUGUGGAUAUUUUAGGACAGACCAUUUUUCAGCCUACCACACAUGCACACACACAGUGAAAAUAAAAAUGCUUUGCAACUGGUGCGGAUCACAAAAGUAUCUGCUAGUGCUGAGGACAGAAACUUGCAUUAGAGUUUGGCCCUCUGGUGUAUGAACUUUCUGCACAGAAAACUGUAUUGAACAAAGGACACUAGGCCGCCAUGGUGGAAUGCUUCCCACAGGCUGGUUGUCAUCUGCUUUGCGGCUCUUACCUGCUUUCCAAGGUGGACUCUAUGCACCCACUUUACUGAUGCAGAAACGAAGACUCAGAGAGUCAUUGUUUGCCCAAAGGCAGAGUGGGGAUUACUACGUUGAAUGCCAUCGGACUCCAGAACCUGCGUCCUUCACAGCACAUCAUGCUGUUCCUCUUGCUUGAAAACCUAUCACUGUGAACUAAUGUGAAAACCCAUCACUGGAAUAUGAUCUAAUACUCAUGCCGUGCACCAGCGCACCCGAGCACUCACGGCCUGCCAGCUCACGGUUAGCACUGCUGUGCUUUCACAGAUUCUACAAACAUUGAAGACAUGCUCCGUAGAGCCAGGCACUGUGGCAGUGUGGAGAAGGGGGGACAUUUUUCUCUACCCUGGAGGAACUUAGAAUCUGAUAGUAAAAUAUGACUGCUGUAACCCAUACAACCCCGUAAAAAUCUUACAAAGUCGCUAUGUUAAGAUUGCUGUGCCAGUGAUGAGGACGCUGGGGUUCAGAGAAGCCCUUGGCUUGGGAACAGCACAGCCAGGACU
rnacentral:lncRNA from 10 species